GAUGAACGCUGGCGGCGUGCUUAACACAUGCAAGUCGAACGAUGAAGCCCAGCUUGCUGGGUGGAUUAGUGGCGAACGGGUGGGUAACACGUGAGUAACCUGCCCUUGACUCUGGGAUAAGCCUGGGAAACUGGGUCUAAUACUGGAUAUGACUUCUCAUCGCAUGGUGGGGGGUGGAAAGAUUUAUUGGUCUUGGAUGGACUCGCGGCCUAUCAGCUUGUUGGUGAGGUAAUGGCUCACCAAGGCGACGACGGGUAGCCGGCCUGAGAGGGUGACCGGCCACACUGGGACUGAGACACGGCCCAGACUCCUACGGGAGGCAGCAGUGGGGAAUAUUGCACAAUGGGCGCAAGCCUGAUGCAGCGACGCCGCGUGAGGGAUGACGGCCUUCGGGUUGUAAACCUCUUUCAGUAGGGAAGAAGCGAGAGUGACGGUACCUGCAGAAGAAGCGCCGGCUAACUACGUG
rnacentral:rRNA from 1 species